rnacentral:pre_miRNA from 1 species
AGAGCCAAAUGUAGCCUAGGACAACUUGCCGACUCAUGAAUAUUUCGCACUUAUUUCAAUAAUAUUCCAGCCGGCAAGUCAUCCUUGGCUGCAAUCCACUCUCU